rfam:Triticum aestivum genome assembly, contig: Triticum_aestivum_CS42_TGACv1_scaffold_225056_3B
UUUGUACUCCCUCCAUCCCAAAAUUCUUGUCUUAAAAUUUGUCUUAAUACAGAUGUAUCUAGUUACAUUUUAGUGUUAGAUACAUCUGUAUCUAAAAAAAUGUAAGACAAGAAUUUUGGGAUGGAGGGAAUACUAC